CAACAAAAAUUUAUUAUACACUUAGCUGGUGCAGGGCCGAGCAACAGCAAUAGAAGAUGCAAAAAUGACAAAGAUAAUGUGGUCCUAGCACAUUUAGGGAUGGAUUGCACUAGAUUGCCCUAGAGAAUAGAGGCACAGGGAACUGAUACAAGGCUAAUAGAAAAGCAUGUGCAAGGCAAGUCUAAGAGCAGCAGCAUUUGAAAGAGAGUAACAGACUAAGAGGGAUGGGAAAGACAUAAUGGGAGGUAGACUCCACAGGGCUUCAGAUGGAUUGCAUGUGUGAUUGAGGCAAGGAAGAGGAAGAGAAAGAACAUUUAAUGACCUCCUUCAGUGCCAGACUAUACUAGGUGCUUUGUAUAGGCUGUAUUAUUUUAAACACCUGAGAGACAGCUGUGAUUGUCCCUUUUCUCCAAUGUUGUAUAAUUUGUAGAAAGUUCUCAGAGCUGGGAUUCAAGUGCAAAGUUUCAUUCACUCAUUAAUUCAUAUAGUCAAUAUUUAUUGAAUGUCCACGCUCUGCCAGGCAUCCUGGAAGAUACCAGGGACACAAAAGUGAACACUAGAAACAAGGGUUCUAUUGGGUUCUCAAGGAACCCUUAGUCUAGUAAGGGAGGUAGAUAUUUAUCUAAAUACCCAAAUGGGAUAGUUUUAAAACAUAUCAAAAAAUUUCCAUAAGAGGUAGAGCCUAAUUUCUCUCCCAUUUAGUGUGGGUUGGACUUAAAGACAUAUUUUUAACAAAUAGAGUCAAGCAGCAGUGACAACAUCUGACUUCUAAGUCUAGGUCAUGAAAGACAUUGGAGCUUCCUUCCCACCUGCUGUCUCUUGGAUCACUUGCCCUGGGGUGAGCCAGCUGCCACGGAGAAGCCCACAGAGGAAGAGCGGAACAGUUCUCAAUGGCAAAUGGAAGUUGCAGUGAAGCAGCACCCAGAGCCAGUGUCAGGCUCCCGAGAGAGCGCUGCACCGCUGCAUGUGGUUUCUGGUGCUCUACAUGUUCGGAGAAACUUAUCUGGUAGUGAGCUAUAGAAACAAUCCCUGCAAGCGUCGUCUUUAUAAGGUCAUUUUAAUGACUAUUUUUCUCCUCAGGAAAUAGGCAGUACUGAAGACAGAGAGAUAAAAGGGGCGGUGCUGACACACGUAGAUGACUGGGGCUCUGACAAUGACCGUGAGCUGAUGACCUGAGUCACACAAACUGGAAAACAAAGUUUUUCCCUAAGGAGUUGGACUUUUAAAAACUUUUUAUUGGCUGCUUUUGGAUUAAGGUGUUUAGGACCAGCAUUAUGAGCAGAAGGACUCAGUGUGUAUGAAGAAGAAACCAAGUUUUUCUACAGCAGAAGAGGAGGAAUUUGCCUUUGCAAAAUGUUAUACUGUUUUAUCUGUCGCUGAACGUGUCUGGGCAGUGGCUGUUCUCCCAGGUCUGAGUCCUGAAAAGGGAAAGAGAAAGAGAUUGUAGGACACGGUGAAAUGAUACACGAAACAGCGUUUCCCCAGCUUCUUAUUUGCCUGUACAUUUCUCAUAAAUGGAGUAAAUGCUGAACAAGCUGACUUUCUCCCAUCAUUCCUGUAAAUAAGGAUAUGACUCACAGACCUUGCAAUCUCUAAAAUGCCAUAGCUACUACAGUGAUUUGAUUAUUUAAAAAUAGCUGGGGAAAAAAACAGCAAGAAAUUGGUCCUGGGUAAGUUAGGAUGAAUUCUUUUCUGUUUGUUUUUGUUUAUCAUUUAAAUUGUUAUUGUAUCUCACCCUAAGUAUUCUGACAACAUCUAGUUUGCCAAACAAAUCUUAGGGAUUUAUGAGUUCUGGAAACUAACAAUAUGAACGUGCUGGUCAGAUCUCAGAUCCCAGGCAAAUAAACCCAAAAAACAAAAAACAAAAGACAACAAGACACAAGGUUCACCAUGGAGUCACUGUGAUCUGCGGGCAACUAUGGAUUUGGUUAUAUGAUCUCCUUUUCUAUAAAGUGGAGAGAGAUAAGUGUUGACAUCACUUAAAUACGCUGAGCCCCACCCCCAAAUAACACAAAUGCUGGUAACAACAAUAAUUUAUAUUAAGCCUACUGAACGGCUUUUGUUGAUCUUUAACUAGCCUAUCUAGAAAUGGGAAACGAGUGACCUCUAUUAUUACUCAAGUACUAAAACUCCCCAAGUAGGACUGUUUGUCAAAACUAGGAGUGAGUUUGAGAUUCAGGAUUAAGGUUCAAGUAGGGAAUCUCCAUUUACCCUGCAUCUCAGUCUUACACUGUAUUAUCAGGGUCUUGGGAGGAAAGAGAAGCACACUUAAGAAGGCAUGAUAAAAAGAGAAAGUAAUGAAGGGAUUAUUAUAAAGUUAGAGGAAGAGUUAAGGGAAAUAAGAAGGGUUGAUGAGGUCCUUGGGGUGGCUGCUUCAGGGAAGUCUUCUCUAGGCUUUCAAGGGCAAGCAAAGGACCACUGACAUUCCUCACAAACUUGCACUUUGGUGAGGGAGCCGGGCCACAGCUGACCUAGGGCUUAGCAGAAAAUCUCUCUCUCCUUCUGUCCUUCCAUCCUCUCCUGGUGGCUGCCACUGGCCAAGCCCAACUACAAACGACAGAACAAGGGAGCUUGGUUGCUGGGGUCCAUCAUACAGCCAGUCUUUCAGGGUGCAGAGCAGGGUGAAUGGGUGAAGAGUGGAUCUGCAGGGGAACAUGGAUAGUGUCGGGCACAGACCACUGACAAACGAAAGAGAUGGAAAUGCUUCAGAAAAGAAAGCAGGAUGGCCAGGUCGGUGGUUUUUUUUUUUGUGUGUGUGUGGAGAUGGAGUCUUGCUCUGUCACCCAGGCUUGAAUGCAAUGGCGCAGUGUUGGCUCACUGCAACCUCCGCCUCCUGGGUUCAAGCAAUUCUCCUGCCUCAGCCUCUCUAGUAGCUGGGAUUACAGGCGUGCACCAUCACGCCCAGCUAAUUUUUUGUAUUUUUUUCUAGCAGAGACAGGGUUUCACCAUGUUGGCCAGGCUGGUCUUGAACUCCUGACCUCAGAUGAUCCACCCGCCUCAGCCUCCCAAAGUGCUGGGAUUACAGGCGUGAGCCACCUCACCCGGCCAGGCCUGUGAUUUUAAUCAUGGGAUCUUGCCUAGUGGUAAAGCCCCAUUAAAUGUCUGAAAAUCUGAAUCAGAAGGAUCAGCAACUGUUCUUCCCUAGGAAUGGAUCAAAGGUAGGUCCUAUGGAUACGGCUUGUCUGUCCCCACCAAAACUCAUGUUGAAAUUUGAUCACGAAUAUGGUGGUGUUGAGAGGUGGGGUCUAGUGGGAGGUGUUUGGGCCAGGAGCAUGGCCUUAUGAAUAAUGCAGUUUUCCAGGUAGUGAGUUCUUGCUUUCAUGAGACUGCAUUAGUUCUUGUGGGAAUGGAUUAGUUCCCUAAAGUGUGAGUUAUUAUAAAGCAAAGUUCCUGUUCCUGUUUGAUCCUCUCUCUUCUCACUUGUCUGCUUCCCCUUUGACCUACUCUGCCCUGCAAUGUUAUGACACAGAAGAAUGCCCUCACCAGAAGCCAUGGCCAUACUUUUGAACUUCUCACCCUGCAGAACCGUGGACUAGAUACACUUCUUUCCUUUGUAAAUUACCCAGUCUCAUGUAUUCUGUUAUAGCAAGACAAAAUGGACUAAGACAGUAGGGUUGCCAGGGAAAAGACAGGCAUCCAGUUAAAAUUGAAUUUCAGAAAUUAGAUAAACUUUUUUUUUCAGUAUAAGUAUAUCCCAAAUAUUGCAUGGGAGGUACUUAAAGAGUUGUUGUUCAUUUGAAAUUCAAUUUUAACUGGGCAUCCCGUAUUUUUAUAAAUAUGGUAAUUCUAAGGGCACUUCCUUCUCACUAAAGAUACUAGAAUUAGAAUUUGAAUAUGGUAUAGCAUUCCUGAAACCUUGUUCUUUCAACACCAAUUUUUGAAAUGUUAAGUAUUUCCAAACAAAUGAACAAAAAAACAAGCUAAACACUGUUUCAUAGUCAAAGAAGUUAAAAAAACAGUGGAUUAAAAUAAAGUUAAAUAGUUCUCACA